GAGUACCUUCCUCCACAAGUUUUCUGUGUCUCCCACAUGGCUUGUGGCAAACUCCAAAUGGAUUUCUUAUGGCUUUCUUUGGGAAUUAAGAA